rnacentral:rRNA from 1 species
UACGUAGGGUGCGAGCGUUAAUCGGAAUUACUGGGCGUAAAGUGUGCGCAGGCGGCAGAGCAAGUCGAGUGUGAAAGCCCCGGGCUUAACUUGGGAAUUGCGCUCGAAACUACUUUGCUGGAGUGUGGCAGAGGAAGGUGGAAUUCCACGUGUAGCGGUGAAAUGCGUAGAGAUGUGGAGGAACACCAAUGGCGAAGGCAGCCUUCUGGGCCAACACUGACGCUCAUGCGCGAAAGCGUGGGGAGCAAACAGG